rnacentral:misc_RNA from 1 species
ACUUUAUGCUCUUUCAUAAUCCUCACUGAUCAGAAUCUCAAAAUCCCUUUAAAUUGUUCUAUGUACAAGAAUGGAGACAUACAAGGGAAUGUUUGGCAGAUGAGAAUUUGUAGGCUGAAGCUGAGAGAAUGCAUAAUUUAUCAUAAUUUAUUUAUAGUAAUCCAUCACGUAUUAUAUUUCAUCAUUUGAAUUUUUUUCUCAAUAAGAAGCCACUGCUAUUUGCAUCUCUCCUUCACUGAUCGGAUGGAAAGUCACUCGCUUACGUGCCCUGACACUUUCGGUCUCUGCUCUGCCAUGGCCGUUCUUCCAAUGCAGUUGUUGUUGUGGGGCAAUUUCACUGGAAUUUUUACCUCCUUUGUUUGCCAUGCAAAGAUCCACAAUCUUAGCAGCUGCCUCUGCCUCGUCCUUGCUUUCUUGCACUAACUUCUCUACUUGUGCCUUGGGCAACCUCAUCUUCACCCUCAUUGCACCGCUUUCCUCGGGGACAAUGCUGCUGCUGGAGGAACUAGGGUUUAUUAUCGAAAGAUCAGAUGUUGAUCUUCUUGCUAGCAUUAGGUUCUCGAGCCUGUCUUUAGCACUCAUGGUAAUCUCCGACCGAACCCUUCUCGUUGUUUUCUCUGUUGAAGCUUUUGGGAGCUCUACUAGGAAAUAGAGCCUCUUGGGCACCAACCCCUGGUGUGGUUCCAGAGGCUUUGCCCUAAUCCCAUAAUGCUUAACUGCCUCUGAUUCUAGGAGAACAAGACCUGGAUAGUCCUUAAUCACCUCACCGGCCUUCACCGGCGUCUUUAACUUGAACGUUUCCCCGCUUAUCUUCAUGAUCUUUACAGUCUGUUUCCCUCCUAAAAUGUUGCCCAUGGUUAGCGAACUUCUUGUUUUAAAUAAUUUGAUGCUAUAGAGAGCUAGAAUUACUG